GGUGAAGGCUUCCUGGCUUUUAUUGAAGAAAGCACAGUUAGUGCUUUUGAGGACAACAGGAGGAGAGGGAAAGACUAAAAGAUAAAAGAGUGGAAUACUACUCAGCAACAGAAAAGAAAUACUAAACAACAAAAUGGGCCACGCAGGAAGAAAUCUCUUUUCUUCACAUGGAUUUGAUUAUGUCUGGGCCUGAAAUAGCAACCACCAUCUGUCAACAAAGGGAGAAGACAAACUAAGGACAGAGCCUCCAUGCUGAGAAUGACACAACAAAAGGUGGGAAAAUACUGGACCCCCGAUGAUGCUGGUGGGCCACUAAAUCAAUCAGUCCUGGAGACACCUACCUAUAGACUGCUUUGAUGUGAGAGGACAUUCUUAUUUAAUUAAUAAUUGGAAUUGGAGUUUUCUGUUACUUGUAUCCAAAAGGGUCUAGGCAAUACUCUCUGUAACCUUGGUCAAGUCUUUUAUCCUUACCAACUGUCAAUUUUCUCCUCUGUAAAUGGAGUUAGCAACGCUAAUUCAUGAAAUGGUUGCAGGAUCAAAUGCAAAAUAUCUAAAACAUUGCCUGGCACAUAGUAGGUGCUUGAUAGUAAUUUUAUAUUUACCUACUUGGCAGCUUUGUUUUCCGGAUGUACUCCUUUAAGUACUUUCUCUUAUUAAUCAUUUCUAAACCCAAUUUAUCUUAAAGAAUUUAACUUAAUUAAAUAAUCUUUCAUGGAAAAAUGAUCAAAACCAGACUUAAGACCAUGACUGGGAAGCUUAUAGUUAUUUUUAAUUUAACACAGUGCAUUCAGGGCUUGCUGAUGUGUGUAGACUGUUUCCAUCAAAUGUGAGAAAAGGAGCUCGACACAGUCUGACAAUCUCUGGCAAUGCAUCUGGUCCUGAAAACUAGACCCAUUCCCCAGAGAAGGACUGGGGCAGGCAGGACUUGGCAGGAGGUGUAGAAAGAGACCCAGACAGGAAGAAAACCAUCCUGGAGACCUGGAGACAUUGUUUAGCAUCAGCAAACUCCAUCAGCAGACACAUAAGAUAGUGAUGUAUAAAACAGUGUUUCCCAACUGGGGCAAUAAAGACAGCUGCAGAGGGAGAGAGCGUUACCACCUCACAAUAAUUUUCUUCUCAAGAAUGGUUCUCUCUCCUUCUCAUGGUCCAAGGGAGAAAUUCAGUUUGUCCCCCAACUCCCACCCACCCAAGAAAAUAUUUCCUGGUGUUUGGAAAUGUCUGCGUUUUACCCACCAGUUGGAGGUCUGGCCAGCCUCAGAGCUGAGAACCGAGGCUGUGAUGAGAUGGGGGUUUGCAGGCUCGUGGGGCUGCCACAGCAGAAGGGAGCUGUGUGUGCUUCAGCUGUGGCUGCCUCUCCC
rnacentral:lncRNA from 10 species